GGGGGAUAUUGCGCAAUGGGGGCAACCCUGACGCAGCAACGCCGCGUGAAGGAUGAAGGUUUUCGGAUUGUAAACUUCUUUUAUUAAGGACGAAAAAUGACGGUACUUAAUGAAUAAGCUCCGGCUAACUACGUGCCAGCAGCCGCGGUAAUACGUAGGGAGCAAGCGUUGUCCGGAUUUACUGGGUGUAAAGGGUGCGUAGGCGGCUUUGCAAGUCAGAUGUGAAAUCUAUGGGCUCAACCCAUAAACUGCAUUUGAAACUGUAGAGCUUGAGUGAAGUAGAGGCAGGCGGAAUUCCCCGUGUGGCGGUGAAAUGCGUAGAGAUGGGGAGGAACACCAGUGGCGAAGGCGGCCUGCUGGGCUUUAACUGACGCUGAGGCGCGAAAGCGUGGGUAGCAAACAGGAUUAGAUACCCUGGUAGUCCACGCUGUAAACGAUGAUUACUAGGUGUGGGGGGUCUGACCCCUUCCGUGCCGGAGUUAACACAAUAAGUAAUCCACCUGGGGAGUACGGCCGCAAGGUUGAAACUCAAAGGAAUUGACGGGGGCCCGCACAAGCAGUGGAGUAUGUGGUUUAAUUCGAAGCAACGCGAAGAACCUUACCAGGUCUUGACAUCCAACUAACGAAGUAGAGAUACAUUAGGUGCCCUUCGGGGAAAGUUGAGACAGGUGGUGCAUGGUUGUCGUCAGCUCGUGUCGUGAGAUGUUGGGUUAAGUCCCGCAACGAGCGCAACCCUUGCUAUUAGUUGCUACGCAAGAGCACUCUAAUAGGACUGCCGUUGACAAAACGGAGGAAGGUGGGGACGACGUCAAAUCAUCAUGCCCCUUAUGACCUGGGCUACACACGUACUACAAUGGAUGUUAACAGAGGGAAGCAAGACAGCGAUGUGGAGCAAACCCCUAAAAACAUUCUCAGUUCAGAUUGCAGGCUGCAACCCGCCUGCAUGAAGAUGGAAUUGCUAGUAAUCGCGGAUCAGCAUGCCGCGGUGAAUACGUUCCCG
rnacentral:rRNA from 1 species